UCUUCUUUUUAAUUUAAUUUUUUUCUUCUGCUCCUGGAGCGCCCCGAGUUUAUUAUUUCAUUUCAUUCGUUUGAAACUUGUAUCUAUUCGUUCUUUAAUCAAGUAUUAAUUCUAAAGUUGGAUCGUAGCUAUCUCGCUGCUCCAUGUUUUAGUGCAUUAUAUGAAACAUUAUUUAUACUCAGUGUGCUGUUCUCUCUUAUUUAAGGAUUAUUAUUCAGUGUCUUAAAUAAUAGUAUGUCCCUAAGCUUUGAACGACAGCAAUUGGAAGAGAAAUUAUUGGAUUCCGAAAAUCGCCUCGGUAAAGCGACUCAACAAAUCACACAAUUAGAAAACCAAAUAAAGGAACUCGAAAUCCUAUCUCGUCGGGCCUCUCGGUCGAAACAACUCGCAUUUCGUUACAAUUACCGCUUGAGACUUUCAGUUCUGACAGACAUGAAAACUAUUAUUAAAAAUCCCUGGCUAUGUAUAUAAUACAAUAUAUACUCCUAUUAGACAGAUGGUUGAAAUUGAGAUGAAACGAAGAGAGGAAAAGAGGGGAUCACUGUCAAAUAAUGGCUUUAGGGUGGGGGCAAGAAGGGUAUAAUACUAUUCAUGGUUACCAUCAUGUUUUUGAAAAUGACGCUAACUCUGCUUCAGGAUCACCAUCUUGUACAUAAUCAUUUCCUUCCUCUCUUCUACACUUUAUUUUCUGUCACUAAUGUGUGUGUGUAAAUUAAUCAUACUACUAAAAUAAUUCAGGAAGAAAUAAUCCUAUUUUUGCGACCCCAUACCGAAUUAUUAAUCUCAUUUUUAUUUUUCUACUGGAUAUGAUACUGUAUUUUAUUUCUCUAACCGUUUAUUUACUUUUUAUAAACAUUGCUUCAUUCUUCUUCAAAGAGUCGGUACAAUUUAUGCAUUUAAAAUCGUUAGAAAGCUUUAGAUUAUAAUGAUACUC
rnacentral:misc_RNA from 1 species